AGAGUCAUUAACCAAUUGUUGAUCUGUUCACAGUGUUAUAUGAUCAUUUAAAUUUUGACGAUGACGAUACAAAAAUUGCUGCCAAACCUGCCAAAAAGUCCCGCCUCUCACCACACAUGUUGUGCCCCCUAAGUUCCCCGAUCAAGCACAAACGUGCUUUGCCUGGAUGAAGGCCUUGUAUCAGGUAUACUGGUAAUAAUAAUUUUACAUUCACCUCAGUCUGUUGUUGUUCCUCAUUAUUCAUGGAAGCUUGAUGACACGACAUCUUCAAUCUGCAUGAACUCUAGUUUGAUUAGAAACUUUGUGAACCGUCAGCAGAUCUGCUCAUGUCUCACCAAAACAACCACACUAAUCAUUUCAUCAUUUUCAUCCAUUAAGGUUGGAAAAACCAGCAGCCCUCCAGUGCUUCAGCCGUCCAACCAUCAACUGUUUCAGACAUCCAUCCUCCCACCACUUCAGCCCCACAGCUGUCCACCAGUGUGCCAACUUCUGACAUUUUACUAUCCUGGGGGGGGUCAUGGCCUCUACGCUGGAUUCCAAAAAAGAGACAAAAAACCCCCCGACCUCAACCCCCACUCUUAGUCAGACAUGUUUAUUUUUUUAUUUACAAUAAUAAAUAUUAUACUGUGUACAUUUAUUUUGUUUUACUUUUUUAUACUUAGUUUCCUUAUUUCCUAUAAUAUUUAUUAGUAGUUGUUGUUUGAUGUUAGUUCUUUUUAGCCCCUUUUACGUUAAAAUAGACGUAAAUGACCCAGAUGCUGAUAUUCUAAUAUAUAGACAGAUUUAUGAAUGAAUUAUUCUCAACAGAAGUUCAACGCUAUUGUGGUAGCAGUUUGACUGUUUUACUGUAAUCUGUCGUGCCUCACCCACUGUCCAUCCCA